CUUAGUGUCUGAUUAAUAAAGAAUUUCUACGAAGGUCGCAAAACGAGUAAACAUUUAUCUUUUUAAAACGCAGGAGUAAUUAAUGGCAUUAAAUGCAGAACAGAAAGGUCAGAUCGUGCAAGAAUACGCCCGGUCUGCA
rfam:Gammaproteobacteria bacterium SG8_11 WOR_8-12_24745, whole genome shotgun sequence.